rnacentral:misc_RNA from 1 species
GAUGAAGAACGUAGCGAAAUGCGAUACGUAAUGUGAAUUGCAAAUUCAGUGAAUCAUCGAGUCUUUGAACGCACAUUGCGCCCCCUGGUAUUCCGGGGGGCAUGCCUGUCCGAGCGUCAUUGCUGCCCUCAAGCACGGCUUGUGUGUUGGGCCCCGUCCUCCGAUCCCGGGGGACGGGCCCGAAAGGCAGCGGCGGCACCGCGUCCGGUCCUCGAGCGUAUGGGGCUUUGUCACCCGCUCUGUAGGCCCGGCCGGCGCUUGCCGAUCAACCCAAAUUUUUAUCCAGGUUGACCUCGGAUCAGGUAGGGAUACCCGCUGAACUUAAGCAUAUCAAUAAGCGGGGA